GUAGGUAGUCUAGUGGUUAGUGUGUAGGGGCGGCAGGGUAGCCUAGUGGUUAGAGUGUAGAGGCGGUAGGUAGCCUAGUGGUUAGAGUGUAGGGGCGGUAGGGUAGUCUAGUGGUUAGAGUGUAGGGGCGGUAGCCUAGUGGUUAGAGCGUAGGGGCGGUAGGUGGCCUAGUGGUUAGAGUGUAGGGGCGGUAGGUAGCCGAGUGGUUAGAGUGUAGGGGCGGUAGGGUUGUCUAGUGGUUAGAGUGUAGGGGCGGUAGGUAGCCUAGUGGUUAGAGUGUAGGGGCGGUAGGGUAGUCUAGUGGUUAGAGUGUAGGGGCGGUAGCCUAGUGGUUAGAGUGUAGGGGCGGUAAGGUAGUCUAGUGGUUAGAGUGUAGGGGGGGCAGGUAGCCUAGUGGUUAGAGUGUAGGGGCGGUAGGUGGCCUAGUGGUUAGAGUGUAGGGGCGGUAGGUAGUCUAGUGGUUAGAGUGUAGGGGCGGCAGGUAGUCUAGUGGUUAGAGUGUAGGGGCGGUAGGGUAGUCUAGUGGUUAGAGUGUAGGGGCGGCAGGUAGUCUAGUGGUUAGAGUGUAGGGGCGGCAGGGUAGCCUAGUGGUUAGAGUGUAGGGGCGGUAGGUAGCCUAGUGGUUAGAGUGUAGGGGCGGUAGGUAGCCUAGUGGUUAGAGUGUAGGGGCGGUAGGGUAGUCUAGUGGUUAGAGUGUAGGGGCGGCAGGUAGUCUAGUGGUUAGAGUGUAGGGGCGGCAGGGUAGCCUAGUGGUUAGAGUGUAGGGGCGGUAGGUAGCCUAGUGGUUAGAGUGUAGGGGCGGUAGGUAGCCUAGUGGUUAGAGUGUAGGGGCGGUAGGGUAGUCUAGUGGUUAGAGUGUAGGGGCGGCAGGUAGUCUAGUGGUUAGAGUGUAGGGGCGGUAGCCUAGUGGUUAGAGUGUAGGGGCGGUAGGGUAGUCUAGUGGUUAGAGUGUAGGGGCGGCAGGUAGUCUAGUGGUUAGAGUGUAGGGGCGGUAGGGUAGUCUAGUGGUUAGAGUGUAGGGGCGGCAGGUAGUCUAGUGGUUAGAGUGUAGGGGCGGCAGGGUAGCCUAGUGGUUAGAGUGUAGAGGCGGUAGGUAGCCUAGUGGUUAGAGUGUAGGGGCGGUAGGGUAGUCUAGUGGUUAGAGUGUAGGGGCGGCAGGUAGUCUAGUGGUUAGAGUGUAGGGGCGGUAGGGUAGUCUAGUGGUUAGAGUGUAGGGGCGGCAGGUAGUCUAGUGGUUAGAGUGUAGGGGCGGUAG